rnacentral:rRNA from 1 species
UACGGAGGGUGCAAACGUUGCUCGGAAUCAUUGGGCGUAAAGCGCACGUAGGUGGUCUGUUAAGUCGGAUGUGAAAGCCCUAGGCUCAACCUAGGAAGUGCAUUCGAAACUGGCAGGCUUGAGUACUGAAGAGGGUCGCGGAAUUCCCGGUGUAGAGGUGAAAUUCGUAGAUAUCGGGAGGAACACCAGUGGCGAAGGCGGCGACCUGGGCAGAUACUGACACUGAGGUGCGGAAAGCGUGGG